ensembl:lncRNA
AGCGCCCCCAACGCCCCCAACGCUCAAAAAGAAAAAUGCUGUUCAGGCAUGAAAUCUGUGUCGGCAUUAACACGUUAACCUGCCCAGUCCUAAUAAUAAUGUAUAUCUAUCUAUUCUAUCAAUAUAUCUUCAUGUACUCUAAAGUAUAUGAAUGUAUAUUCAUAUAUAUUCAUGUAUCUUCAUAUUUUAAAAGUAUUUCCCCUACCAUUGGAAAAAGGGGUCGUCCACCUCCAAGAAAGUCUGGAAUAAAAAAGAUUUUCUAGAACUGCAGACUCCUCGCUGCGCACGGCAGCACGCUGGCACCCGCGGACACACAGCGCGUGUCUGCAAAGACUAUUUCACCGGGUGGAACAUGUUGAACUAGUGACUCUUCCUGUUGCUCUCGUGCACUUUGCUCUCAACUCUCCGUCAUUUGAUGUGUUCGACGUGCCAACAACGUCCUCACAUCCAAUCCACUCGUUUAGGGACACAGGUCCUCUGCAGGGUAAAUAUGUAGAUGGAAGUAGCCUAGCUGCUAGCUUAAAAUAGCUUGAGCUAUCAGUUAGCCUCCCGUGGAGGAAUUCCUCUGCACAGCUCUUCUGUUUGUUUUACUUCCAAUGCAAAAAAGCUCUCUGUAUCCUCAGCUAUGUUAGGGGUCAGAGGUCAACACACACCGAAAGGAAACGAAGCUGCGUUAAGUGAUUUUAACGCAUUAAUCUCCAUCACAAUAAUCUCAUAGAUUAACGCGUUAACUUUGACAGCCUUAAUAUUAAUGUAUCUUAAUUGUUUUUUCAUGGAUCUUGAUGUAUUAAUCUUAAUCUGUGUUAUUUUAUCUUAAUAUAUCUUGAUGAAUCCUAAAGUAUAUUAAUGUGCCACCUUUACAAUAUUCCAUUACAGCUCAUUUAUCUGACGCUUUUAUCCUCAUGGUUGAAGUGCAUUCAACCAUAAGGACACAAACUCAGAAGAACAAGAAACAAGAAAGUGAAAUUUCCUCAAAUAAGCAUUUACAACUUGCUGUAGAUAAGAACCAUUAUAAGUACAAUUUAAUUUGUUAAGUCUUUUUAGGCAAGGUACCUCGCAGGGGAGUGGGUGUCUCCUGCUCUGGAACACCGUCUCACAGUAGGGGCUGAUCUCCUCCUGAUCGUGUGUUGAAGCUGUUGAUCAGAGGAGUUAGUGUGGUUAUGGCAGCAUUGAUGAUGAAGAUGAUGGUGGUGAUGAAGACGAAGAUGAUGUGUCAUCUGUACUCACCUGGAGCUGAUCCGGAAGAGUUGUUACUCAAAGUGCUGCCGCUGAAAACACACAAACAAUAAAGAAAAGUUAAGUCACACUGAUCCAAAGAGAAGAUCUGCAAAUGAGAUCCUGUUAUAGGACUGCAAUAGGAAUAUUAAAGCUGUUGUUGGUGGACCCUGGUCUAGAAACAGGUGUAGAGGGACCUACCUGUUCCUCUCAGGUGUUUGUCUUGGUGGAGUGGGAGGAGCUGACUGCUGGCCGUAGUAACUCCUCCCCGCAACGGGGGCAGUAGAGCCAGGUGAAGUCCCCCAGUAGAUUUCAUUGGAGACCAUCUCCAUGCCACCACCUCGGGGUGAACCGGGGGAUUCAGAGAGCUGGCUGUCGUCAAGACUACCGGAAGAGAAAGUCACGGGAUGUGUCUGGAUCUGCUCAGUCCGUACAGGUGAAGAUGAGGAGGAUGAGGAUGAGGAUGGGGACCCCUGGAACUUGGCGGAGGAGACCCCGCGGUUCAGUCUCGGAGGAACAGGGGGCAACGACCCUCUGGCGUCUGACAGCGACAAGCUGCGACCCGGCUUCCUCCGCUCCGCCUGACUCGCGGUCGACUUGGAGGUGAAGCUGUGGUCGGAUGUGGGCGUGUCCCCUGAGGUCAUACCCUCCGACACAGAAAAAAAGAUGGAGUCCUGGGAAAGCCUUCUGGAGGGCGGCGGCGCGUCUGUCGUUGCACAGAAGUGGACGGGAGCGGUCCUCCGCCGGUUAAAGACGGUUCUAGGUUUGGGAACCGGCUUCACCAAAGGGCGGCUGCCCUCACGGCCGGUCAACAUGUCGGCCAGGUUUGGAGCCGAGCAGUUCCUGAACGCCUCAAAGUUUAUGGGUCCUGGCGACCGACCGUGAGCUCGCUGUGAGGAGGACACGUCCGACACAGACUGACAGCGGUCCCGUGGGGGAUUAGCUUUCUGAUUGGCUCUCUGGCUCUCCAUCCGCUGGAGGUGACGGACCAAUCGUAGGAUUCUCUUCCUGUGUCCAGUGGCAGUUAUUCCCAGACUGACAAACGCAUCGUUGUCCAGGUGUGUAAAGUCUCGAGCCGAGAGGAGACCGGCUCCAUGGAAGGUGUCCAGGUACCUGGAGUCAAAGACAGAAAAACUGAACUUCUAGAGGAAAAACUCUUUGCUUAAACUCAUCAUGUUGACAGUAAAUGUCCAUAAAACAUUGCAAUGUGUUCCAUGAUACGUGCUACAACUUAGCCCUCCCUACCUAUGUUGAAUGCUUCAUGCUAACAACUUAGCCCUCCCUGCCUAUGUUGAAUGCUUCAUGCUAACAACUUAGCCCUCCCUAUGUUGAAUGCUUCGUGCUAAUAACUUAGCCCACCCUGCCUAUGUAGAAUGCUUCAUGCUAACAACUUAGCCCUCCCUGCCUAUGUUGAAUGCUUCAUGCUAACAACUUAGCCCUCCCUAUGUUGAAUGCUUCAUGCUAACAACUUAGCCCUCCCUAUGUUGAAUGCUUCAUGCUAAUAACUUAGCCCACCCUGCCUAUGUAGAAUGCUUCAUGCUAACAACUUAGCCCUCCCUGCCUAUGUUGAAUGCUUCAUGCUAACAACUUAGCCCUCCCUGCCUAUGUUGAAUGCUUCAUGCUAACAACUUAGCCCUCCCUGCCUAUUGAUAGAUGGUUGAAUCAGUGACACUGUUUGCUAAUUGAACCUCUCCAGAAGAAUCGCAGCCAGAAGUAUCUCAACAGCAGUGUUUCCGUCCAGCAAGGCCAUGAUGACCAACAUGGGCUCCAGAUCUGACUCGGUCUCCUCCACGUCCAGGAAGCCUGGCGGCCAUCACUGACCUACUGCAACGAAAAGACAGCAGCGGUCCAUCUGGGGGAGAUAA